GCGUGGCUGCACGAUCCGUCAGGAAACACUAUCCCCGGGGCCUUACGCAUUCCUUCGGGAGCUGUCACUGCUUCGGUCCGUGGACUGUGGCAUCACGGCGCCCACCUACUCUGUAGGUUCUCCGGGAUUGCAUAUUCCAACGAUCGCGCGGCUACGCC
rnacentral:other from 1 species